rnacentral:lncRNA from 1 species
AAAAAUAAAACAAAUAAAAUGGACCCAAUUGAAUUAAAACGGAAAAAAGGGGGCGGAUUUGCAAUAAAACAAAAGAAAGGACCAAAUUGGACACGCAGGAAACAAUAGGGGACAAAAAGGAAAUUAUUCCUUCCUUCCUAAACGCUGCGCAGCAUGGGACUGAAUUGAAGCAAAACUAAAAUCUGUGACCCAAUUUAAAAAAAAAUAAAACAGGAUUUAAUUGAAAGGCGGCGCAAAAGUGAGGGCCAAAAUGCUAAAUUUUCCCAUCUGACGUCAGAACGCGCGGAUCCUCCUCUCCGGGUCGGGUCACCGUGCGGGUCUGGCCAUUUAAAACGGCGCCGUUUUAAUUUUGUUAUAAAAGCAACAUUUAAAAAAAAAAAAAACUUCCUGCCAUGUUUAAAAAAAAGGCUUAUGAACCCUAGCCUCCUCUGCUAGGGUUCCCACAUUCAGCCCCCCACCGCCGCCGCGUAUUUUUCCCAACCGCACGACGCCGCCGAUUGAAAGGUAAACAAAACUCCUCCUUCUUCCCUUAUCUUUUGUCUCAAAAAGACAUGAAAUGGUGACCAAAAACAGAAAAAAGAUUCGAGGAAAACAAAAAGAAAUAAAAACCUUCAAAAUCGUAUUCUGAUCUUUCGUGUUUUCUAAUAUUUUUUAAUACAUCGUUUCCCUUCCCUUUUUCUUUCCCCCCUUUUUUACAGAUUUUCCACGGCUUUAAAUAGCCGAAAUGGAAAAGGAAAAAUGAACCAAAUCAAACGAAUAGAAAAUAUAUUAUGUUCUUAUUGGCGUGAUUUUUGCUAUUCUGUUCGCGUUUGUUGCUGCAGGUACAAGGCGAGGCGAGGAAGGCGCGCAACUCGCGCGGAGAGGGACCCUGUCCCCGAGUCGUGCGGCGACUGGACUGCUGGAGGCGGCGGCCAAGAAUUUUCUGUUUAGUGUUUCGGUAGUUAGGGUGUUUGGAAUUUUGGGCUUAGGUUAUAGUUUUGUUGGGCCUGUAUUUUAAAAUUUUGGGCUGUGUUUUUGUUUGGGUUUAUUCUCUCACAGGCCGGGCAAAGAUUGGGCCCUACAAAUACAUAAUAAUACGAUAUAACCUUUUUUUUAAAAAUAAAGUACCUGAUGCAUUUAUUAAAAAAUUGAAAACACUAAACAGUACCUUAAAGCCCUCCAUCUCGUCCAGCUGUCAAACAAAUAGCAGACUGAAUGGGAGGUGCCUUGGGCUCCUAAAAAAAUAACAAUUUGAAAUGGGAAACCAAAACGUCUUAAACAAUAUUAAGCAAACAAAUCCUAAUAGCAGUUUAGCCUUCUCCAGAACUCAUUUCUCCUCUCUGCAUCAGAUAAGAACUGACAAUUCUUAGCCUACAUCCUUACCCUCCAUCCUCACUACCCACUGAGAUUCUUCGGAGUUUCAACCAGCCCUGCAAUCCUCUGGUCUCAGUGCACAACUACCUACCAGACAUCCUCUAGCCUUUGCCACUGUCUUCGAUUAAUAAAUGCUCCAGUUUCAAGGGGAUUUCUUCCACCUAAUACCUCGGCGAGUCAAGUUGUCGC